AGGAUUCCCCUAGUAACUGCGAGUGAAGCGGGAAAAGCUCAAAUUUAAAAUCUGGUGGUCUUCUGGCCAUCCGAGUUGUAAUUUAGAGAAGCGUCUUCCGCGCUGGACCGUGCACAAGUCUCCUGGAAUGGAGCGUCAUAGAGGGUGAGAAUCCCGUCUUUGGCACGGACUCCCAGGGCUUUUGUGAUGCGCUCUCGAAGAGUCGAGUUGUUUGGGAAUGCAGCUCAAAAUGGGUGGUGAACUCCAUCUAAAGCUAAAUAUUGGCGAGAGACCGAUAGCGAACAAGUACCGUGAGGGAAAGAUGAAAAGCACUUUGGAAAGAGAGUGAAACAGUACGUGAAAUUGUUGAAAGGGAAACGCUUGAAGUCAGUCGCGUCGACCGAGACUCAGCCUCGCCUCGGCUUGGUGUACUUCUCGGCCGACGGGUCAGCAUCGAUUUCGAUCCUCGGAUAAUGACGAGGGAAAGGUGGCACCCUUUCGGGUGUGUUAUAGUCCUCCGUCGCAUGCGAGGGUCGGGAUCGAGGAACUCAGCACGCGCCUCUCGGCGUCGGGGCUUCGGCUCACGUUACGUGCUUAGGAUGCUGGCGAUAAUGGCUUUAAACGACCCGUCUUGAAACACGGACCAAGGAGUCCAACAUGCCCGCGAGUGUUCGGGUGGAAAACCCGUGCGCGUAAUGAAAGUAAAAGUUGGGACCUCCGUCGUGGAGGGCACCGACGCCCGGACCAGACCUCCUGUGACGGAUCUGCGGUAGAGCGUGCAUGUUGGGACCCGAAAGAUGGUGAACUAUGCCUGAAUAGGGUGAAGCCAGAGGAAACUCUGGUGGAGGCUCGUAGCGAUUCUGACGUGCAAAUCGAUCGUCAAAUUUGGGUAUAGGGGCGAAAGACUAAUCGAACAUCUAGU
rnacentral:rRNA from 1 species